AACGAACGCUGGCGGCAGGCUUAACACAUGCAAGUCGAACGGGUGUAGCAAUACAUCAGUGGCAGACGGGUGAGUAACACGUGGGAACCUUCCUAGGGGUACGGAACAACUCAGGGAAACUCGAGCUAAUACCGUAUACGUCCGUGAGGAGAAAGAUUUAUCGCCUUUAGACGGGCCCGCAUCGGGUUAGCUAGUGGGUGGGGUAACGGCCUACCAAGGCGACGGUCCGUAGCUGAUCUUAGAGGAUGAUCAGCCACACUGGGACUGAGACACGGCCCAGACGCCUACGGGAGGCAGCAGUGGGGAAUCUUGGACAAUGAGCGCAAGCCUGAUCCAGCCAUGCCGCGUGAGUGAAGAAGGUCUUCGGAUUGUAAAGCUCUUUUGCCAGGGACGAUAAUGACGGUACCUGGAGAAUAAGCCCCGGCAAACUUCGUGCCAGCCGCCGCCGUAACAC
rnacentral:rRNA from 1 species